CCCAACUAAAUCUGUCAGUCUUUAAGAUGCCACCGGACUCCUUGUUGUUUUUGUGUCUACAGACUAACACAGCUACCUCCUGAUACUUGAAAUGUAUAAUGAUACACUGAAUGCUCCAAAGAGCAGCACCUUCCUUUCAACCAUUUUCAGAUCCUCCAGCCAGACGUGCAUAUUAAAAAUGCCCAGCCAGCAUGUUACUGGUAGUAGUCAUUUGUUCUAUUUCUCCGCAGUUCCAUGCCUGACAUUUCUCAGCAAUGAAAAAGUCACCAGUGCCAUCAUCCCCAGCCAAACAGAAGGUGAGGGGGAUGGCAGGAGCCUUUCCUCUGAUGCUGCCCCAGAAGCAAGUGGGGCUGAGCUGGAGUCAGGAGCAGCUGUGGUGCUGGGAGAGCCGGGCACAGAAGAGUCAGUACCUGGCAGAAAGAGGGUAGGAUCUGCUGAGAGGCAGAGCCUGGGGCAUCACCCUGAGUGGGCAGGCCAAGGUAUUUUAUAUUUUUGAAUUUGAGCAAAAGUGAUUCAGUUUUGAGAAAUGAGAUCAGUGAGAUAGAUCAUCAUCGGCGAUCCCCAAUUCGAGGAUGAUCUCUACCACAGAUUUACAUAUGGGUCCUGAGAUGACUCAGGAGUCUGAUCCUGGAACCACAGAUCUUCCCCCCAUAGCUUUAAGGGCAAGACGCUUCUCCUCAAAGUGGGGCAUUGCCUGAUGGAGGAUGUGGCGCCAGUGACAUAUAUACAUAUCACUCUCAAGCCGCCUCCCAAAAUCACACCAACCGGUUCCAUUUAAGUAUGCUUUAAUGGCUUAGCAUUCACCAUACACCACCGUCAUAUGGAGUUCAGAUGGAGAACACAGUAGAGGAGCAGUGCUUCAAGCAAGUGAAGAGACACCUAUACACACUCAUUAGUAUUCCUUGAAUUGAUCACAUGCUGGGACAGAUACAUGGUCCAUCCUGUCUCCAACUGUGGCCUGCUCCUGAAUGGAAGAUACUUCAUUAUUAUUCAAUGAUAUUUCUGCUCCUAUAGGAUCCAGAGACUCCAACAGAAUGAGGUCCCCAGUGCAUUAGGGGAAACAAACCCUGUACAAACAAAGAUGUGAUCCUGCUCCAAAUUGCUUACACUGCAGAAGUUUUAAUUUCGGCCUUGCUCCCAUUCCUGAUCCAUUUGAAGCAUGAAGAUGGAUGGCCUCUAAUUUUGUUCUCCCUAGUCUAAAAUAGAGUUGCUGUUAUUAUUUGUAUCAAAUUCUUUUUUCAAACAAUAUUUGCUUUAACAUUAGCAUGGAGUAGUAAAUUUCACACCUUAACUGCAUGUUGUGUAAGUAAAAAGUAGUUCCUUUUAGCUGCUUGGAAUUUGUUGCCUUUUAAUUUCAGCAGCUGGGAUCAGACAAACAGGAGGAGCAAAAGGGCUGGCUGCCUUUGUAACCGUCACUAUUUUAUAUACAACAGUCAUAUCCCCCUGUCCUCUUCUAGCCAGACUAGUAAGGGGAUUGGUUUAUUUAUUUCCUACCCUUUAAUAGACAUGGCUCAGUGAUGUCUCCAAAUCGUUUUUUGUGCCUCACUCUGGUCCUUCAAAACUGAACACCACGUUGAGGGUAAGGGCCUAGGUACAUUUUUAUCAUCUCCACUGCCUGCAGAAGACUUGACACUUGGAAGUUAAAAGAAAAGAAAAAUCAGAUUUCUUGGUCUGCGUUUUGCUUUAUUGGGACCAUUGCAAUACAUGGUGGAGUUUGUUUAUAAAUUACUAAUGUCCUUGUGUUUUAAUUAAAAAUAUUUUCAGAAUGGGAUGAUUUAUUGAAAACUGAAGUUACAAACCAGCCCAUUGGAAAUCCAGCCAUACCCUGCUUUGAUUGUUCACUUUCCUGUUUCCCAUCUCUGCAGCCCUUGGUGGAUGCGUGUAGUAACUCCUGGUUCUAGGACUCUGCAUUUCAAC